rnacentral:rRNA from 1 species
UGCCAGCCGCCGCGGUAAUACGGAGGAUCCGAGCGUUAUCCGGAUUUAUUGGGUUUAAAGGGUGCGUAGGUGGAAGUAUAAGUCAGUCGUGAAAGUUUACGGCUCAACCGUGAAAUUGCAAUUGAAACUGUAUUUCUUGAGUGUACAUGAGGUAGGCGGAAUUCGUGGUGUAGCGGUGAAAUGCUUAGAUAUCACGAAGAACUCCAAUUGCGAAGGCAGCUUACUAAGGUACAACUGACACUGAGGCACGAAAGUGUGGGUAUCAAACAGGAUUAGAUA